UUUCGCAAUGCCCGAAAGGGUGACGAAGCGACGCCGCGUGGGUGAGGAAGGCCCUCGGGUUGUAAAGCCCUGUCAGGAGUUAAGAAAUGUAGAUUCGCUAAUAUCGGGUCCAUUUGACGAAGGCUCCAAAGGAAGCCACGGCUAACUCUGUGCCAGCAGCCGCGGUAAUACAGAGGUGGCAAGCGUUGUUCGGAAUUAUUGGGCGUAAAGAGCACGUAGGUGGAUUUGCAAGUCAGAUGUGAAAGCCUUCUGUUCAACGGAAGAAUUGCAUCUGAAACUGCGAGUCUUGAGUAUAGGAGGGGAGAAUGGAACUUCUGGUGGAGCGGUGAAAUGCGUAGAUAUCAGAAGGAACGCCGGCGGCGAAAGCGAUUCUCUGGCCUAUUACUGACACUCAGUGUGCGAAAGCUAGGGGAGCAAACGGGAUUAGAUACCCCGGUAGUCCUAGCCGUAAACGAUGGGCACUAAGUAGAGGGGUUUUA
rnacentral:rRNA from 1 species